rnacentral:rRNA from 1 species
GAUGAACGCUGGCGGCGUGCCUAAUACAUGCAAGUCGAGCGAACGGACGAUAAUCUUGCGUCUCUGAUGUUAGCGGCGGGCGGGUGAGUAACACGUGUAUACCCUACCUAUAAGACGGAUAUAUCUUCGGGACACCGGAGCUAACACCGGAUAAUCUUUUGAACCGCAGUGGGCAAAAGUGAGAGACGGUCUUGCGGUCACUUCUAGCUGCAUCCGCGCUGCAUUAGCUAGUUGGUAAGGUAACGGCCUACCAAGGCAACGAUGCAUAAACGACCUGACAGGGUGAUCGGCCACAUGGGAACGGAGACACGGUCAAGAGUCCUGCGGUAGGGAGCAGUAGGGAAUGUUACGCAAUGGGGGAAAGCCUGACGGAGCAACGCGGAGUGAGUGAUGAAGGUCUUGGGAUCGUAAAACCGUGUUACUAGGGAAGAACAUAUGUGUAAGUAAAUGUGCCCAUAUUGACGGUACCUAAUCAAAAAGCAACGGCUAACUACGUG